AGCGUGUCGGGGGCUACAAAUAUCAGUGAAACUGAUUUGAGGAAAAACAAUGGUUGCAAUGAAUACAUAUUUUAUGUUUUUUGAUUAUCGUUUUUUUAUUGUCAUUAGACAUUAAACAACAUUUGCAUACAAUAAAUGCAUUUUUUUCUAUUUAAGGAAAUUAACAUGCAUGAAAAGAUUACAUUUCUAAGAUUUCCCGUAUUUAUGAUUUUGUACAUUGUGUCUUUCUUUCCGCAUAAAAGAUCAUCUGCAAUCAAAUAGCUUUGUAUUUUCCCUAUAAAUCCUACCAGUGGAAAAAAAUAAUAAUAAUAAAUAAAUCAUCGCACAAUGUUGGAAGUCUAUCCCCGUCUUCACAGCUCAAUUGAAGAGAGUGUGCGACCCGGCAGUGAAUGGGUUAGUUUUUGCAUUACAAUGGAUAGUAGUGAUUUUCGAGAAACAAGCUCUCCAGCCAUCUUUGCUACGAGACGGCGGGUUUAACUUGGAGUUUGUUUUGUGUGGUUGUGAAAUAAAACCCAAUUCAAAUAGGGGAGAAAUAGAAUUAUUGAGCGUUUCACCCGAGAGCGGAAUGCGCAGAAAGUUGGGUCAGAGAGAAGCGAAGUGAAACAAUGUAACAGCUGGCGGACGGGGAGAAUGAGAAGCUUCCUCUGGAGACGCCGCACAUUUCAAAAAUUGCUGAAGACAGAAAACAUCUUAAACGAAAAGAAUAAAAGAAAAUUGACUUACCAGACAUAUUGGCCUGAAAAGGAGGAAAACUCUGGAAGAGCUACAAUGAAAUACCCCAACGUCAGUUCUUUGCUCUAUUAUAUGGGCAAGAACGAAAUAUUCACAAAAGUAUCAAAAAGUCUUAACAAAGUAACCUCAAAACACUCUCAUGACAUACAAUUAAACAGUAUUAUAGCUAGGGAUAUUUUAGUUUGAGUUUUUCUCCCCUCAUCCCUACUAUUUAAAACCCCAAGAACUCAAUGAUUUGACAAUGAUUUGAUUGCGCGAUACUUUCAAUUUGAAUAUUCAAAGGCUUCGUAAAAAGACUCAUUUCUGAGUGAAAUUCGCUAUUAAAGUGGAUAAAAUAACAUCUCUUGUAAUAGAAUGUUAUGUCAUUUCACAUUUUGACAUCAACCAAAUAUAUAUUUUUAACAUUUUAUCAUCCUUUUGGACUUGGUGGUUGGAGUCUCCCUUAGAAACACUAUUUCAACUUUGCAGCAAGUCUGAAAGCACAAAUGAAGUUUUACAUGUCAUGACACAUUGUAAAUAUCUUCAGUAAUAGGUAGUCUUGUGGAAAAAAAUAAAUAUUCCCUCUUAUAAAUUAGAUUUAUGCAUUAUUUUAAGAAUUACUGGAGUAGUGGGCGUGGCAUAUGAUAGCAGCCAUGUUUGUCACCAGCACAAUUGGGACGUCAGUAAAAGUCAAAGUAUUGCAAUAGUGGAGGCAUCUAUACAAAUAACAAAUAUGAAAUAUGUUUAAUUUAAUUUGUAAAUUUAAUUGAAUUGUCAGCCGAGUUGCUGAAAACCAAGGCAAGCUACAACGGACAUAAAAACCAACAGUAUUCAUAUUAAUAUUCAUUAAUUUCUUUCAUUGCUGCAUUUUUCUUUUCGAUGAGUUGUUAAAUAAAUAAAUUAAUAUGGCAUGUUUAUUAGCAUCAUCAAACAGACCAUAAAAAAAAAAGCCUGAAGUGGGCUGCAGUUUGAUGCUGAGUGAUGCUGAAGAGAGUCUCACACAUCCGACUUUGGUCACUAUUACUUUUGAUGAAGCAAAUGCGAAAGAAAAAUGGCAAGUAAUCUAUUAAAAUGCAGAACCAUCAUAAUUAUGUUGUCUAUGUAAGUGUGUCAGAUUAUUUGUGACGCAUUUAAGACAGAAAGCAGCCGUCAGAAUUGAUGACAAGCAGGUGUUCUUUGUCUGAGAAAAGAGGUUGGAAAACAAGCUGCGCUACAUGAAGUACUGUCUAAUUUACACAUUUCGUUUGCAGGUGAAAAAUAAUUUUAUAUUCAAGCAUUAAUAAAGCACGGAAGAGUUUUUUGUCGUUUUAAAGCAUCCUAUUUAAAGUCAAUUCCUCCAAGGGCACGUCUCUUAUUGUUUGCUGAAAUUGUUUUGUAAAGUUAAUCGGCUGCAAACAGAUUAGCGCUUUCAAAUUAUAAUUUUCAAAACUUUUGCUUUUUGUCAUUCAUUUUAAACAAUUCGUUCGUAAUCCUAAAUCUCUAGGUAUCGUUCAACUGGGUUGGAGGAGUCGGCUAUUGCGAGGUAGUUGAACGUCGCCCUCUUGUGAUGAAACAGAGGAAGGCGUUUAACUGUGUUUUCACUAUGCAAGUCACGCAAUGCUUACUCAUAUCAUUUGCGUAUUUUUCAAGCAUGUAAUAACAUUAAAGAUAAGGCUAAUGCGUGAUCAGAGCUGGAAAUAAAAGUUUUUAUGAGUUUAAAAAUGUUCCAGAAAAAUGAGUCAUGUUGUGUUUGAACGUUAUUUUGGUCCUUUUGUCUCUUCCUGCACAUUAUACCUUAUUUUUUGUUAUUUUUCUAACGUUUUUGCAUCUUAUGCAAAAAAAAAAAAAGAUGAUAAAAAAGUGAAAUACCUAUAUUCUGAUGUACCCUCUAAAAUAUGCUGUAUUUAUUUAACUCAUAUUUGGGUAAAUUUGAACAAACCCAAAUAUACCAAGUUCAGAAUGUAAAUUAAAGUUUGGGUUGCACAAUGA